rnacentral:rRNA from 1 species
UACGGAGGAUGCGAGCGUUAUCCGGAUUUAUUGGGUUUAAAGGGUGCGUAGGCGGGCUUUUAAGUCAGCGGUAAAAAUUCGGGGCUCAACCCCGUCCGGCCGUUGAAACUGGAGGCCUUGAGUGCACACAGGGGUGCCGGAAUUCAUGGUGUAGCGGUGAAAUGCUUAGAUAUCAUGAAGAACUCCGAUCGCGAAGGCAAGUGUCCGGGGUGCAACUGACGCUGAGGCACGAAAGCGUGGGUAUCGAACAGG